GCUCUUCAUCUGCCCUCUUUACACGUUUUCCAGAAGGCGGGUGGGCAUCCUCAUGUCCCUCGUCCUCCUCCACCGCUGCCUAAGCUGUGCCCCCUGCCUGGGACUAGGAAUCCAAGGUCUCCUUCAAGCCCCACUGGCUCCUGUGGCUUUUCCCAGUGGCUUCAGCUCAGCUCCAUUCUCUGUACUCAUAUACACCUAGCCCUUAAGCCGGUGGCUGAGCACUUGCCUGUGUUUUCAUUCCUUUCUUUGCCAGGUACCCUGCAGAGCCACUCAGGUGGAGAAAAGACAACUAAAAGUCCCUGCUGGGUCAGAUUUUCUUCCUUGUUCUUCCCUCCGAGACUUUGCUGUCCCUGUGUGGUGAGUCUCACGAGAUGCAGCGGAGCUUGGUGCAGGAGCUCUGUCGGCCUCACACCCUCAGGGAAAUUGAGACAAAUGAGAGGACCAGUGAUUAAAGGGGAGAUAGAGAGAAGAAAGUGGCUAAGGAGACGGAAGAAUGAAGGAAGAACAGAUGUAAUUUAAAAUGAAAAGAGAAAGGAGAGAGAGACCAUUAAAUCUGGAGAUGUGGGGUAGAGACUUCUGCUUUGGGGCUGAAUAGAAGGUAUAUUUUUGGGGAAGUUCACACUCGUUUUCUUUACUUGCCCAGGACAACAUGGUGUGGCUUCAUUAUGUGAUUUGAAAGGGUGAAAUGCGGGGUUAUGAAUAACCAGAAUGAUCAACACACACAUAGCCAGGUGUGUUCUACAGACCUUCAAGGAAAUUGGCACUGAAGGUGGAGGCUGGAUGCACUUUUGCUUCUCUCUCCCGUGCUCAGGGCCAAUUGCUAAGGCAUGCAAACCCUUCCAGAUGCUCCUCAAGGAUUCUUCUGGGUUCUAGAGAGUCCCCUGCAAAGGACUGGGCAAGAAGGAGGCAAUACAAGGUAGCCAGGGCUCUCCCAUAAAUCGGCACCCCAUGCUUCAGUGCUCCGCCGUACCACUGACAAGAAUUCAGGCUGUGUAAUUGGGUGGAAAGAUAAGGACUUUCAAGGCCAACUCCCUCAUAGCAGGCCUAGUCGCUAAUCAGUGUGACUGUGCACAAGUUUCCUUGCUGAUAAAAUGGAAAUAGUCACUCUACCUCACAGGUUUCUGAUGAAUAUUAAAUGAGAUAAUAUAUAUCAUAUGUGGGUCAUGUUGUACACGUGUGAAACAUAGAGCUUAUUCAUUCAGUCUUCAUCCGCCCUUCCUGACCCUCCCACUACUCUGCCUACCCUCUAACCCCUGUUUCAUCCAACUCUUCUCAAUGAGAGAUGGUGACACCUGGAAAUGUAAGAGAAAGGAGAAAAGUAUGUAUUAACAGUAACCACACCUUUCUCCACAUUAAGCAUUAAAUCAUUUAUUACUCUUUUCAUUGAAC
rnacentral:lncRNA from 1 species